rnacentral:piRNA from 1 species
UGUAAAAAUGGGGUUUAAAUCAGCCA